GAUCCUAGCUCAGGAUGAACGCUAGCGGCAGGCUUAACACAUGCAAGUCGAGGGGCAGCGAGAUCAAAGCUUGCUUUGAUUGUCGGCGACCGGCGCACGGGUACGUAACGCGUAUGCAACCUACCCACUACAGGGGGAUAACACUGAGAAAUCGGUACUAAUACCCCAUAAUAUCUUGGAAGGCAUCUUCUGGGGUUGAAAACUCCGGUGGUAGUGGAUGGGCAUGCGUUGUAUUAGCUAGUUGG
rnacentral:rRNA from 1 species